rnacentral:rRNA from 1 species
GAGUUUGAUCAUGGCUCAGAUUGAACGCUGGCGGCAGGCCUAACACAUGCAAGUCGAACGGUAACAGGAAGAAGCUUGCUUCUUUGCUGACGAGUGGCGGACGGGUGAGUAAUGUCUGGGAAACUGCCUGAUGGAGGGGGAUAACUACUGGAAACGGUAGCUAAUACCGCAUAACGUCGCAAGACCAAAGAGGGGGACCUUCGGGCCUCUUGCCAUCGGAUGUGCCCAGAUGGGAUUAGCUAGUAGGUGGGGUAACGGCUCACCUAGGCGACGAUCCCUAGCUGGUCUGAGAGGAUGACCAGCCACACUGGAACUGAGACACGGUCCAGACUCCUACGGGAGGCAGCAGUGGGGAAUAUUGCACAAUGGGCGCAAGCCUGAUGCAGCCAUGCCGCGUGUAUGAAGAAGGCCUUCGGGUUGUAAAGUACUUUCAGCGGGGAGGAAGGGAGUAAAGUUAAUACCUUUGCUCAUUGACGUUACCCGCAGAAGAAGCACCGGCUAACUCCGUGCCAGCAGCCGCGGUAAUACGGAGGGUGCAAGCGUUAAUCGGAAUUACUGGGCGUAAAGCGCACGCAGGCGGUUUGUUAAGUCAGAUGUGAAAUCCCCGGGCUCAACCUGGGAACUGCAUCUGAUACUGGCAAGCUUGAGUCUCGUAGAGGGGGGUAGAAUUCCAGGUGUAGCGGUGAAAUGCGUAGAGAUCUGGAGGAAUACCGGUGGCGAAGGCGGCCCCCUGGACGAAGACUGACGCUCAGGUGCGAAAGCGUGGGGAGCAAACAGGAUUAGAUACCCUGUAGUCCACGCCGUAAACGAUGUCGACUUGGAGGUUGUGCCCUUGAGGCGUGGCUUCCGGAGCUAACGCGUUAAGUCGACCGCCUGGGGAGUACGGCCGCAAGGUUAAAACUCAAAUGAAUUGACGGGGGCCCGCACAAGCGGUGGAGCAUGUGGUUUAAUUCGAUGCAACGCGAAGAACCUUACCUGGUCUUGACAUCCACGGAAGUUUUCAGAGAUGAGAAUGUGCCUUCGGGAACCGUGAGACAGGUGCUGCAUGGCUGUCGUCAGCUCGUGUUGUGAAAUGUUGGGUUAAGUCCCGCAACGAGCGCAACCCUUAUCCUUUGUUGCCAGCGGUCCGGCCGGGAACUCAAAGGAGACUGCCAGUGAUAAACUGGAGGAAGGUGGGGAUGACGUCAAGUCAUCAUGGCCCUUACGACCAGGGCUACACACGUGCUACAAUGGCGCAUACAAAGAGAAGCGACCUCGCGAGAGCAAGCGGACCUCAUAAAGUGCGUCGUAGUCCGGAUUGGAGUCUGCAACUCGACUCCAUGAAGUCGGAAUCGCUAGUAAUCGUGGAUCAGAAUGCCACGGUGAAUACGUUCCCGGGCCUUGUACACACCGCCCGUCACACCAUGGGAGUGGGUUGCAAAAGAAGUAGGUAGCUUAACCUUCGGGAGGGCGCUUACCACUUUGUGAUUCAUGACUGGGGUGAAGUCGAAACAAGGUA